rnacentral:rRNA from 1 species
UGGAGACAGGGUCUUCCCUUCGGGGACAGGAUGACAGGUGGUGCAUGGUUGUCGUCAGCUCGUGUCGUGAGAUGUUGGGUUAAGUCCCGCAACGAGCGCAACCCUUGGUUCUAGUUGCCAGCAUUCAGUUGGGCACUCUAGAGCGACUGCCGGCGACAAGUCGGAGGAAGGUGGGGAUGACGUCAAAUCAUCAUGCCCCUUAUGACCUGGGCUACACACGUGCUACAAUGGAUGGUACAAAGGGCAGCGAAGCGGCGACGCAUGAGCGAAUCCCAGAAAACCAUUCUCAGUUCGGAUUGCAGGCUGCAACUCGCCUGCAUGAAGCCGGAAUCGCUAGUAAUCGCGGA